ensembl:lncRNA
AGCAGGCCGAGGAGGGCUGAAGGGCUUUCUAACAAACUCCAUAUGGGUCUGGGAUGGAAAACGUGUUUCUCUCUUGCUUUGUCACAAUGGGUUGUUUGCCUGCUUUUUGGGAAGCAGCAGGGGCUUUCUUUUCCCCAAUUAUGUGAAUAAUUAGAUUUAUUUCAGUAUUUACAAGAGAUUGCUAAACACUUGGGUUUCAAGAAAGCUGGGAAGUCAGCUCUCCCAGGGGUGAUAAAGUGAGUGGGUGGAGGAGACCACAGCAGGGCAUGUCUCUGCCUCUGUGGGGGAGUUAAUAGGUCCUUAAGAGUGCCCAGGUGCCCCACAUUGCUGCCCCUCGGUCUGAGGUGUUUGCAGAAAGGAGCAAGUUUCUAAAUUAUUCUUUAGCAAGUGAAUGUGUUCUGUGCUGGGCUGCAUGGGGAGGCUGCUGGCAGGGCAGGACCAGGUACUGUUACCUUCCAGAAACGGGGCCUGCAUCUUCACCCAUCAGUUAGAGACAGCUGGGGGGCUGUGAGGUGAGAUGGCACGUGGGGUGAGAGAGAAAGGAGCCGAGCAGUUGAGUGCAGUGUGACUUUGUGUGUGAGGGAUGAGGCAUUUUUUUCCACUGACACAGCAAAGCCUCAGUAGUUGUCAGGCAUGGGCAGGGCAAGCAGCUGAUCUCUGUUUGAAUGCUGGGAGUAGCUCUCAGUGGGUGGGAUUCUCAAAAUUUGGGCUGUAUUUGCAGAGCAGCCCAAGUGCUGAGAGCUCCUGGGAGUUUGUCUGCAUCAUUUCCAGCUGGAGGGACUUGCAAGUUCAAGUGUAUGUGGAUAGGAUGAGAAGUCACAGGUCCAAAUUGCCUCUCAGGAAAUUCAGGUUAAACAUAAGAAAAUACUUUCUAACAAUGAGAACAGUGGAAUAUUCAUAGAAAUUGCAACAGAGGGCUGUGCACGUAGCAGCACUGGGGUUGUUAAGAGCAGGUUAGAAAAACAUCUGUUAGGAAAGAUGUAGGCUGGAUGAUCCUGACCUGGGGAAGUAAUACGAAUUGAACAGCCUCCCAAGUUCCCCUUCAGGCCAAUUUUCUUUGCUUCUGCAAUGUUGCAUAGCAGUGGUUAGUAGAUAAAUUGUAGUACAGUGAUUCCAAUGAUUUCUUCUCCCCAAAGUAGAUGCUGAGAGUUUUCUCUCCAGCGUAGCAUGAAGACGUGUUUCAGUCAGUAAACAUGGAGCUCUGAAUUAAUAUCUCAGGAUUCUUAAAUUGGGAAGAAAAAGGAAAAAAAGGAACACUUUCUUUUCAUGAUAAGGAAUUUUCAAGAAAAAAAGAAAGAAAUACUCCCCUUCUCCACCCCCAGAAAAAAAGAAGAUGCAUCAACUCAAGGGUGUUCAUUGCAAAAUAAUGAAAAGAAAUGCAGAGUAAAGCAGAAGUUCCUAUCUUUGGGGAGGAAAGGAGAGGAGUAAGUGUACUGAUAUUGGUAGAACAAAACCCUGAAAGAGAAAGAAGUCCUAAAUAAAUUAAAUUAUACAUCUAAUGAGCACAAACAGCCUUCUACUUUCAAAAGAGAUUUAACCCAAUUCUUCAAAGAAACAAAACCCAGCAGUAAUUAGUAAGCGCUUUUAUCUCUUCUGGAUUAGAGUAUCUCAUAAAGCUGAAUUCCUAGAGGUGAUGUUUCUCCCCCCCUAGAAUAUCAA